CACACAGUGUUCCCCACACACAUACGGACUUUUUCACCCUUGUCCAGCGGUCAGGUUUCUUUUGGAUGGACUGUUGAUGAUGGCGAGCUACCCGCCCAACACUGGAGUCCUCUCCUCCCUCAAAGUGUGGUAGGAACACGUACUCUGGAACUUGAAUGAACCGAAACUAACCGAACUGAACUUGAAUGAACUGAAAAGAA